rnacentral:snRNA from 1 species
UCAGUUUCUCGGCCUUUUUGCUAAGAUCAGUUUAAUAUCUGAUACGAAGGCUAUCGGCCCACUCGAUAUUAAUCUAAUUUUUCACGGGGAAAAACCCACCACAAUAGCUUGCUAUUGGGUCUUUGAGAAUCGCCUUGGUAUUGCACUACUGCCAUAGCCUGACGCACCCCUU